rnacentral:rRNA from 1 species
AGUGAACGCUGGCGGCAUGCCUAACACAUGCAAGUCGAACGGCAACACGUUAAGCUCUUGCGCUUCCGGCGGGCGAGUGACGUAUGGGAAAGUAAUACAUCGGAAUCUACAUUUUCGUGAAGGAUAACGUAAGAAAACAUACGCUAAUACCGCAUAAGCGCGGCGUGGCAAAACAUCGCAUGUUCGGACCUUGCGCGAUCGGAUUAGGCGAUUUCGGAUUAGCUAGUUGGCGAGGUAAAGGCCCACCAAGCCGACGAUCCGUAGCUGGUCUGAGAGGAUGACCAGCCACACUGGAACUGAGACACGGUCCAGACUCCUACGGGAGGCAGCAGUGGGGAAUAUUGGACAAUGGGCGCAAGCCUGAUCCAGCCAUGCCGCGUGGGUGAAGAAGGCCUUCGGGUUGUAAAGCCCUUUUGUUGGGAAAGAAAAGGAGCUGGUUAAUACCUGGGUGUUAUGACGGUACCUAAAGAAUAAGCACCGGCUAACUUCGUG